UACGUAGGGGGCAAGCGUUGUUCGGAAUUACUGGGCGUAAAGCGCGCGUAGGCGGUUCGCUGUGUCCGAUGUGAAAGCCCCGGGCUUAACCUGGGAAUGGCAUUGGAAACUGGCGGGCUUGAGUGCGGCAGAGGGGGGUGGAAUUCCGCGUGUAGCAGUGAAAUGCGUAGAGAUGCGGAGGAACACCGAUGGCGAAGGCAGCCCACUGGGUCGACACUGACGCUCAGGCACGAAAGCGCGGGGAGCAAACAGG
rnacentral:rRNA from 1 species